rnacentral:rRNA from 1 species
UACGUAGGGGGCUAGCGUUGUCCGGAUUUAUUGGGCGUAAAGAGCGUGUAGGCGGCCAGGUAGGUCAGCUGUGAAAACUCGAGGCUCAACCUCGAGACGUCGGCGGAAACCAUCUGGCUAGAGUCCGGAAGAGGAGAGUGGAAUUCCGUGGUGUAGCGGUGAAAUGCGCAGAUAUCAGGAAGAACACCCGUGGCGAAGGCGGCUCUCUGGGACGGUACUGACGCUGAGACGCGAAAGCGUGGGGAGCGAACAGG